rnacentral:rRNA from 1 species
CCUACGGGGGGCAGCAGUGAGGAAUAUUGGUCAAUGGGCGUAAGCCUGAACCAGCCAAGUCGCGUGAGGGAUGAAGGUUCUAUGGAUCGUAAACCUCUUUUAUAAGGGAAUAAAGUGUGGGACGUGUCCUAUUUUGUAUGUACCUUAUGAAUAAGGAUCGGCUAACUCCGUGCCAGCAGCCGCGGUAAUACGGAGGAUCCGAGCGUUAUCCGGAUUUAUUGGGUUUAAAGGGUGCGUAGGCGGCCUUUUAAGUCAGCGGUGAAAGUCUGUGGCUCAACCCCAUCCAGCCGUUGAAACUGGGGAUCUAGAGUGUGCGAGAGGUAUGCGGAAUGCGUGGUGUAGCGGUGAAAUGCAUAGAUAUCACGCAGAACCCCGAUUGCGAAGGCAGCAUACCGGUGCACAACUGACGCUCAGGCACGAAAGCGUGGGGAGCAAACAGGAUUAGAUACCCCUGUAGUC